GAUGAACGCUGGCGGCGUGCCUAACACAUGCAAGUCGAACGGACUUUUCAUGAAGCCUAGCGAUUGAAAAGUUAGUGGCGGACGGGUGAGUAACGCGUGGGUAACCUGCCUUGUACUGGGGGACAACAGUUGGAAACGACUGCUAAUACCGCAUAAGCGCACAGCUUCGCAUGAAGCAGUGUGAAAAACUCCGGUGGUACAAGAUGGACCCGCGUCUGAUUAGCUGGUUGGUGAGGUAACGGCCCACCAAGGCGACGAUCAGUAGCCGGCCUGAGAGGGUGAACGGCCACAUUGGGACUGAGACACGGCCCAAACUCCUACGGGAGGCAGCAGUGGGGAAUAUUGCACAAUGGGGGAAACCCUGAUGCAGCAACGCCGCGUGAGUGAAGAAGUAUUUCGGUAUGUAAAGCUCUAUCAACAGGAAAGAAAAUGACGGUAUUUAACCAGAAAGCCACGGCUAACUACGUGCCAGCAGCCGCGGUAA
rnacentral:rRNA from 1 species